GACGAACGCUGGCGGCGUGCUUAACACAUGCAAGUCGAACGGAAAGGCCCUGCUUUUGUGGGGUGCUCGAGUGGCGAACGGGUGAGUAACAAGUGAGUAACCUGCCCUUGACUUUGGGAUAACUUCAGGAAACUGGGGCUAAUACCGGAUAGGAGCUCCUGCUGCAUGGUGGGGGUUGGAAAGUUUCGGCGGUUGGGGAUGGACUCGCGGCUUAUCAGCUUGUUGGUGGGGUAGUGGCUUACCAAGGCUUGGACGGGUAGCCGGCCUGAGAGAGUGACCGGCCACAUGGGGACUGAGAUACGGCCCAGACUCCUACGGGAGGCAGCAGUGGGGAAUAUUGCACAAUGUGCGGAAGCCUGAUGCAGCAACGCCGCGUGCGGGAUGACGGCCUUCGUGUUGUAAACCGCUUUCGCCUGUGACGAAGCGUGAGUGACGGUAAUGGGUAAAGAAGCACCGGCUAGCUACGU
rnacentral:rRNA from 1 species